AUCUGAAGAGAGUAAGUAGAGAGGUGAAGAGAGUAAGUGGCGGGCUGAAGACAGGGCUGAAGCUCAAAUGUAGUGGCAGCGUGAUGAGAGGAGGCAGGAUGCAAUGUUGAGGCUGCAGGAGGAUCAGACCAGUAUGCUCCAGUGUAUGGUUGAGCUGCAGCAAAGGCAGCUGGAGCACAGACUGCCACUACAGCCCCACUGUAACCAACCGCCCUCCUCCCCAAGUUCCAUAGCCUCCACACCCAGACGCC